UUUCCCCCCUGGAACAGAAAAGGCAAUUAUGUUAUAAACAAACACUGGAACGUGGAUAUCAUUGUAUUGCUCUUUUUGGGAUGAUUUGCCAGUGGAAAUGAAAUUCAAUAAUUUAUCUGAAAUUAAACAACUUAAAUGAUAAACUUGAGUUAGGAUGGGGAAUGAAUGUCAACACCAACCCAUCCCUCAGCUUGUUGAUGUCACUGGAAUCACCAGGCAGUUUGGAAAGAGGAGCUAUUAGAUGACACCUCCACUGCUUCCUUCUCUGGAUUAUAAUAGUGUGGCAAUGAAGGAGUGAAGGAUUGACGUGUGUGGAUGAAGCAGAGGGCUAUGAAGGCAUAACAGAAGCAGGGCAUGGCUAGCUGAAAGGCGUACCAUGGAAUGAAGAUCCAGAGGGCUGUGAAGCCAGUGAGGGGUGAGGUUCAGGACCCUCAACACUGGGCCUCUACAUACCCCUCCACUCAAAAAAAUCUAUCUGGCUGACAGUCAGACAACAUACAGCCAUCCAGCCAGCCUGCCAGCGACCACACAACCCCAUACUCUCUGACUCAGACAUUUUCUCUUUGAAUUUCCCCCCUGAGAAUAUGUAUUGAUUAUCCCAGACAGAACGUAGAAAACGAGUGGCUCCACAUACAGUGAGUCUCUCCUGCACUGCAAUGCACUGUGCUGUACGGUACCUAUCCUGUAUAAGGAAAGGUCAGGGCUGUGGGUUCUCUGCCCACAGAGUGUGUUUGAACCCUGUGUGUUGCUACUCUACGGCUGUGUCCACCAUGCCCAUGGGAUCCAAUAUGACACUGAGACGUCAUUAACUUCAUCACUGUGCCAGCCUGCGACCCAGUUGGGAACCAGCUCUGACGGCCAUAGUGACCCAGUGACCUGAUUGAACCACUCUGACCUCUAACUUCUGACCCCUGCCAUAGCGACGGUGCUGAACUCCCUCCGUCACUAAUACAACAAAACCUCUGGACUACUUAGACAUGCUCUUUUCUCCUCUCUCUUCUCUUGCUCUCUUUAAUGUCAAACUAAUGUAGAGUUUGCUUUAAUCCCAUCCAUCCUCAUGUUUCAGAAUUGUGCUAUAUUCCUUUGUUUUGAACAGAAUAUUGACAGAUUGGGUUCUUAGUGUCAUUUAAGUGUAUCUGCUGAUUAUUCUGAUGUUUUCUGUUUGUUCUGGCUUUGUUGAUAUGUCUUUCUACAAUACCUACUAUUACUACUACAGUACUACUACUCAGGCAUAUGAUUUGUACUGCUGUUGAUUGUUCUUGUGUCUGCAUAAUGAUGCAGUCAGUAUCAGGCCAUUCUCCCCUGCCUGCCUCAUGAUGUAUUCUAUUAGUCAAAAGGAUAGAAAUAACUGAUGAGGGUAUUGACAAGGAAUCAGAAAGGGCAAUAAAAUGAAUGCCACAGAGUUUAGUCAUCACACUAACACAUGUCUAUUUAGCCCAGCUUUAACAAACCAUUGCAAUAACAAAACAUUCUGAACUGUGCCCAACUGAGUUCUUGGGCACAUUACUCCAAUUUCUCUCCUUCCUCUGAUUCCUCAAACACUUUUGUCCAGAAUCACUUAUUGCUAACUGCCAAAAUAAAGAAACCACUUCAGUAAAUGAGGGAUACAAAGUAUAUUGAAAGCAGUUGCUUCCACACAGCUGUGGUUCCUGAGUUAAUUAAGCAAUUAAAACAUCCCAUCGUGCAUAGGGUGAUGUAUAAAAAUGCCCAGUUGCCCAUAUUUCUUUGCUACCAUGGCUAGAAGAAGUGAUUUUGAAAGAGGGGUCUCAAAAGAGCAUACAAAACACCAACAUGAUGGAAUUUCUCAUGGAAGAAUGGUCUUGCAUCCCCCCCAAUAUAGUUCCAGACGCUUGUAGAAUCUAUAAUCUAUUUGAUCUGUUCUGGCUGUUAGUGGUGUCCAACGCCCUGUUAAGACAUUUUAUGUUGGUGUUUACUUUAUUUUGCCAGUUACCUAUACAUGCCAUGUGUACAUAAUGCGAGGAGAGUUAUGUACAAUUGCAGAAGAGCUGUAAAACAAUGUGAUGUGACAUUUUGAUUUGAGUGCUAUAUUAGGCAUAGAUACUUUAUGAAGUGUAAAGGGUGCUUGGGAUAUUGAGCCAAAAACAUGUUGAUGUAUUGUAUAUCUGUCACACAGUCAUGUGUCCUUCCAUGUGGUCAUAUGAGCAAGUUGUUAGUUGUUCCAUUAGCUAAAAUAACCUGAAAAUGCAAGAUAGCAUUUAAAUAGAAAGGAAUGUCUUAAAUGUUGGCACAUUAGACACUCAUUACACAUUCUUAACACUGAAUUCCCUCAGGGAUACCUUCAUCCACAGUUUCUAGGUCUUUUUUAUGGAUAAUUAUUUUGGUAAUCAGCAACAACCUCCCUAUCAAUUACAUGGUCACCAGUCAUUUUGGAAUGACAACCUGGUACUGAUGUAGGAUCUUAAUUUGACCUUUAUUGUCGCAGCAAAAUAAUUCUACAGCAACAGAAUUUUAAUGUUUAGUCCAUAAUUUUGCCACAUAGGUGGUCAGGCUAUUAGCUAGUCAAAAUGAGGCAACAUGAAAAGUGUUAUAUUGUUAAUAUAACUGUGUUAGUGCAGGUUUUCAAUUAAUCUGCAAAUUCUCAGCAGCAAAAGAGUGAUCAAAUUAAAGUCUUACAUCUGUAUUAACCCGCCUGGAGUCAGCGGAGAGUGUGUGGUUUAUGGUUAACGUUUUCUUUCACUGGUGACUUCCUCUAACAAACGGGUCUAGCAUGGUGCACUUCCAAACAACACUCAUUAAAGUCAGUGAUGUCUGUAUAGAAACAAGUGUCAUCACCACCAAUCAUAUAAUCUUGCAUAGCCUGUAUACCUCGUCAAAGACGGCAAUAACCCAAGAGCUCUCAGCAAGCCUUCCUGAGUUAGUGGGGAGUGCAGGGGUUGGAAUGGAGCCAAGAACAGAUUAAAUGGACUUGACCGGUCAUUUUAUCUUCAACUGUAAAUAACUAAAAUCAAGAGAAUGAAGUCUUUGUUUGUUAAACUAUUUUUAUUGUAAUGAAAGAAAAUAAAGAAUGAGACUCCGGA